AGUGAACGCUGGCGGUAGGCCUAACACAUGCAAGUCGAACGGCAGCACAGUAAGAGCUUGCUCUUACGGGUGGCGAGUGGCGGACGGGUGAGGAAUACAUCGGAAUCUACUUUUUCGUGGGGGAUAACGUAGGGAAACUUACGCUAAUACCGCAUACGACCUACGGGUGAAAGCAGGGGAUCUUCGGACCUUGCGCGAAUGAAUGAGCCGAUGUCGGAUUAGCUAGUUGGCGGGGUAAAGGCCCACCAAGGCGACGAUCCGUAGCUGGUCUGAGAGGAUGAUCAGCCACACUGGAACUGAGACACGGUCCAGACUCCUACGAGAGGCAGCAGUGGGGAAUAUUGGACAAUGGGCGCAAGCCUGAUCCAGCCAUACCGCGUGGGUGAAGAAGGCCUUCCGGUUGUAAAGCCCUUUUGUUGGGAAAGAAAAGCAGCAGGUUAAUACCCCGCUGUUCUGACGGUACCCAAAGAAUAAGCACCGGCUAACUUCGUG
rnacentral:rRNA from 1 species